CAACUACUCCCUCUGUCCCAAAUUUCUUGUCUUAGAUUUGUCUAGAUACAGAUGUAUCUAAUACUAAAAUGUGACUUGAUACAUCCGUAUCUAGACAAAUCUAAGACAAGAAUUUUGGGACGGAGGAGUACUUU
rnacentral:pre_miRNA from 1 species